AUGAACGCUGGCGGCGUGCCUAAUACAUGCAAGUCGAGCGAACGGACGAGAAGCUUGCUUCUCUGAUGUUAGCGGCGGCCGGGUGAGUAACCCGUGGAUAACCUACCUAUAAGACUGGGAUAACUUCGGGAAACCGUAGCUAAUACCGGAUAAUAUUUUGAACCGCAUGGUUCAAAAGUGAAAGACGGUCUUGCUGUCACUUAUAGAUGGAUCCGCGCUGCAUUAGCUAGUUGGUAAGGUAACGGCUUACCAAGGCAACGAUGCAUAGCCGACCUGAGAGGGUGAUCGGCCACACUGGAACUGAGACACGGUCCAGACUCCUACGGGAGGCAGCAGUAGGGAAUCUUCCGCAAUGGGCGAAAGCCUGACGGAGCAACGCCGCGUGAGUGAUGAAGGUCUUCGGAUCGUAAAACUCUGUUAUUAGGGAAGAACAUAUGUGUAAGUAACUGUGCACAUCUUGACGGUACCUAAUCAGAAAGCCACGGCUAACUACGUG
rnacentral:rRNA from 1 species